AGUAAUCUACCAUAUAGAUGGCAUUUAAAAAAAAAAAUGAGCUAACAUGACCAGGAAAAUAAAAAAAUUGUUGCAUCCUUGUUGUGUCCAAAUUUUGACUUGUACAAACAAGAGUUGGAUUCAUGUUGUAGAAGUGCCAGCCAUGGACAGUUCAGCAAAAACAAAGUGUCAGUGCUUCAUAGGAUUUGAUAUCCCAGAAUGUUUAAUGGAAACUUAAAAUCCAAGCAAUAAAAACAGCUUGGCUGAAGAAGCAUUAGCAAAUAAUAGAGACACGUAAUUUUGAAUGAAUAUAUAUCUUUUCAUAUUAUUUACUUUAUGCUGAAGAUGCCAACAGAAUGUGGAAUACAAUAAUAAGAUUUAAAGAUUUAUGAAGUAUUGAAUUUGCACCACAAAUUUGUUGAAAAUGUAUGCACUGAGCUCAAUUGAUUACUCUCAUUACAUGAAUUUAGUCAACAAGAACAUAACCUUAUCCACAUAUGGAAUUAAACCAUUUGAAUUACCAAUUGCAGCCAGGCGUUCCUUCUUUUUCUCUAUUUUUUCCUCCUUGGUCAAUGGCUUUUUAAAUCCAAGUUCUGCUGUAGCCAUUUCUCUCUCUCGUCUUUGCGUAGCAAGACGCUCCUCAAAA
rnacentral:misc_RNA from 1 species